rnacentral:rRNA from 1 species
CCUACGGGGGGCUGCAGUGGGGAAUUUUGCGCAAUGGACGAAAGUCUGACGCAGCAACGCCGCGUGGGUGAUGAAGGUCUUCGGACUGUAAAACCCUGUCGUCAGGGACGAAGGUUGGGGGGUUAAUAACCCCUUAGCUUGACGGUACCUGGAGAGGAAGCCCCGGCUAACUCUGUGCCAGCAGCCGCGGUAAUACAGAGGGGGCAAGCGUUAUUCGGAAUUAUUGGGCGUAAAGGGCGCGUAGGCGGUUUUUUAAGUCAGAUGUGUAAUCCCCG